AUUACUGAGUUUACGCUCUAUAACCCUUUGUGAACAUACCUAUAACUGUUGCUUCGGCGGGUAGGGUCUCCGCGACCCUCCCGGCCUCCCGCCUCCGGGCGGGUCGGCGCCCGCCGGAGGAUAACCAAACUCUGAUUUAACGACGUUUCUUCUGAGUGGUACAAGCAAAUAAUCAAAACUUUUAACAACGGAUCUCUUGGUUCUGGCAUCGAUGAAGAACGCAGCGAAAUGCGAUAAGUAAUGUGAAUUGCAGAAUUCAGUGAAUCAUCGAAUCUUUGAACGCACAUUGCGCCCGCCAGCAUUCUGGCGGGCAUGCCUGUUCGAGCGUCAUUUCAACCCUCAAGCUCUGCUUGGUGUUGGGGCCCUACAGCUGAUGUAGGCCCUCAAAGGUAGUGGCGGACCCUCCCGGAGCCUCCUUUGCGUAGUAACUUUACGUCUCGCACUGGGAUCCGGAGGGACUCUUGCCGUAAAACCCCCCAAUUCUCCAAAGGUUGACCUC
rnacentral:rRNA from 1 species